ACUUAGAAUUCCAUAAAAGCUUAAUGUACUUACGGUAGCAGUAAAGAAAAUGCCCCCAAAGGGAGUCGCACAAUUAGGAGGUGUGGCCUUCUUGGAGUAGGUUUGAUCUUGUUGGAGGAAGUGUGUUGCUAUGGAGGUGGGCUUUGAGAUCUCAUUUAUGCUCAGGUCACACCCACUGAGAAAGAUCACUAGUCAAGAUGUAAGAACUCUCAGCUCUUUCUCUAACACCAUGCCUGCCUGCAUGCUGCCAUGCUUCCUACCAUGAUGAUAAUGGACUAAACUUCUGAACUUCAUUUAGCAGCACACCAAUGAACAAUCCCAUGAGGAGGUAAAUGGGAAAGGUAAGAAGAACAGAUGGGACCCAUCAGCAUGUAGAAGCAAAGACAUAGGUAUUCAAGUUGUAACUGACUUAUCUGACUGCAACAGACAGGAGACACAUUCAAAGGAGG
rnacentral:lncRNA from 1 species